UGGGGAAUAUUGCACAAUGGGGGAAACCCUGAUGCAGCGACGCCGCGUGAGCGAUGAAGGCUUUCGAGUCGUAAAGCUCUGUCCUAUGGGAAGAUAAUGACGGUACCAUAGAAGAAAGCCCCGGCUAAUUACGUGCCAGCAGCCGCGGUAAUACGUAAGGGGCGAGCGUUGUCCGGAAUUAUUGGGCGUAAAGAGUGCGUAGGCGGCAAAUUAAGUCAGAUGUGAAAACUAAGGGCUCAACCCAUAGAUUGCAUCUGAAACUGAUAUGCUUGAGUCAAGGAGAGGAAAGUGGAAUUCCUAGUGUAGCGGUGGAAUGCGUAGAUAUUAGGAGGAAUACCGGUGGCGAAGGUGACUUUCUGGACUUGAACUGACGCUGAGGCACGAAAGCGUGGGGAGCAAACAGG
rnacentral:rRNA from 1 species